UACACAUGCAAGUCGAACGAGAAAGCACUUCGGUGCGAGUACAGUGGCGGACGGGUGAGUAACGCGUGGGAAUCUGCCCAGUAGUGGGGGACAACUCGGGGAAACUCGAGCUAAUACCGCAUACCCCUUACGAGGGAAAGGCUUCGGCCGCUAUUGGAUGAGCCCGCGUCAGAUUAGCUUGUUGGUGGGGUAAAGGCCUACCAAGGCGACGAUCUGUAGCUGGUCUGAGAGGACGAUCAGCCACACUGGGACUGAGACACGGCCCAGACUCCUACGGGAGGCAGCAGUAGGGAAUAUUGGACAAUGGGGGAAACCCUGAUCCAGCAAUGCCGCGUGUGUGAAGAAGGCCUGCGGGUUGUAAAGCACUUUCAGUAGGGAAGAUAAUGACGGUACCUACAGAAGAAGCACCGGCUAACUCCGUGCCAGCAGCCGCGGUAAUACGGAGGGUGCGAGCGUUAAUCGGAAUUACUGGGCGUAAAGCGCACGUANGUGGUUUGGUAAGUCGGAUGUGAAAUCCCUG
rnacentral:rRNA from 1 species